GCGCUAACCGUGUUGCUGCAGGUUUGCUGUUGCCUUCCUGUACUAUGGGAUCAGCUUCAAGAUCUCAGGUUUUGGCGUCAGUAUCUACCUCACGCAGUUCAUCUAUGGCGCCAUCGAAGUUCCCGCCAAAAUCCUGACCUUCUUCGUCCUGGACUGGAUCGGCCGGCGGAACGGCCAGGCGGGGUUUCUGAUCACAACGGGAGCUCUGAUUGGAGUAAACACGGCUAUACCUUUAGAGUAUUCAGUGCUUCGUACGUGCAUCGCUGUGGUGGCGAAGGGUUUCUCAGAAGCGGCGUUCACCACCGCGUUCCUCUACUCAGCUGAACUCUUCCCAACCAUCCUCAGGCAGUGUGGGUUAGGCUACACCUCGUGCCUCUGUCGGAUCGGGAGCGCCCUGGCUCCGAUGAUCAUACUACUGGAGGACAUCUGGCUUCCUCUGCCGCCGCUGAUAUUCGCUGG